GACGAACCGUGCGAACGUUGUUCGGAAUCACUGGGCUUAAAGGGCGCGUAGGCGGGCUGACAAGUCUGGGGUGAAAUCCCACGGCUCAACCGUGGAACUGCCUUAGAUACUGUCGGCCUCGAGGAAGGUAGGGGCAUGCGGAACUAACGGUGGAGCGGUGAAAUGCGUUGAUAUCGUUAGGAACUCCGGUGGCGAAAGCGGCGUGCUGGACCUUUUCUGACGCUGAGGCGCGAAAGCUAGGGGAGCAAACGGG
rnacentral:rRNA from 1 species